rnacentral:rRNA from 1 species
AACGAACGCUGGCGGCAGGCUUAACACAUGCAAGUCGAACGCCCUGCUUGCAGGGAGUGGCAGACGGGUGAGUAACACGUGGGAAUCUACCCUAUAGUACGGGAUAGCCCUUGGAAACGAGGAUUAAUAUCGUAUACGCUCUACGGAGGAAAGAUUUAUCGCUAUAGGAUGAGCCCGCGCUAGAUUAGUUUGUUGGUGAGGUAAGAGCUCACCAAGACUACGAUCUAUAGCUGGUCUGAGAGGAUGAUCAGCCACACUGGAACUGAGACACGGUCCAGACUCCUACGGGAGGCAGCAGUGAGGAAUAUUGGACAAUGGGCGCAAGCCUGAUCCAGCCAUGCCGCGUGAGUGACGACGGCCUUAGGGUUGUAAAGCUCUUUUAACGGGGAAGAAAAUGACGGUACCCGUAGAAUAAGCACCGGCUAACUUCG